rnacentral:lncRNA from 1 species
GUAGGACUUUUGAAAUAUACCCUAGUUUGUAUAUGGAUUUCUGGAAAACAAUCUACCCUCCCCCUUUUUUUGUUGUAAAAGGGAAGUGAUAAAAAUGUUAAUUUCACAUCAAAAUAGAUUUUUUUAAACUAUAAGCAAUUGUUGGCAAGGGUUCUGGACAGGGAGAUGGCAGCGCAUAAUAAGCUCAACGAUAAGUGAACAUUUUAUUGAAAAAAAGUGUUUUGUAAAAUUAUUUGUUAGCACAUGCAUGCUUACAAUCCUGUACUCAGUCUUGUGCUACGCCACUGAUUUAACCUUGAUCAUGUUUUGUUAGAGUUUAAAACAUAUUGUUGUCUCCAGAAAAUAUUACACCCAUGAAAGAUAAUUAAAGAUUAAGUAGAGGAAAGUUUUGGAUUACCAAUGCUCAUCCGUCAAAGC